ensembl:lncRNA
CUUGGUUUUCCUGCAGGACUUGUUAAGACCCACAUGCAGAAUAUGAGCUUCAGCCGACCCUCCCUGCAAACAGCUCCAAGUGUUUGGAUCCCCUGCCCAAGCCCAGUUCCUUUCCCAAGCUUUUCUCACGUUGGGCUGCCAGGCUGCUCCACGCCAGUGGGUCCUGUGAGCACUGCAGCAGAGCCGAAAGCACAACGAAUGCCAUGCAGAGACUUUGCUGCUUGUGAACUGCUGCUCCCAGGCCUCACUUGGUUUUCCUUUCCUAUCCAUGCAAACAGCCAAGACUUGGCAGUGGAUGGCAACAGCAGCAAAAGGAAAGUGCGUCAACCUCAAACAAGCAAACUGAACAGAGAAGAUGGGAGUUCUGCAGGAACACAAGUGGGUUUUCUUUAUGACCACUGCCUGCUUGGCAGGUUGCUGUCUGAUGAUAAAACCAAGAAGUAUAUUCAAACAUGGAGUACUCCGAGAUGCCAUAAACUGCAAACCUGAGGUUUAAAAUACGUUGCAAGAAUCAAUUUGCAACUUUACUGUAGGGCAGCCAUGCCUAUCUUGUGGCUUUGCAAGUUUGCUCUGCCAUGACAG